GGCACAGCGCCGGAUGAACGGAUAACUCUGAUGACGUUAAUUAAGGAGACUCCUCCCUAUGCCU
rnacentral:tRNA from 1 species